rnacentral:rRNA from 1 species
UACGUAGGUGGCAAGCGUUAUCCGGAAUUAUUGGGCGUAAAGCGCGCGCAGGUGGUUUCUUAAGUCUGAUGUGAAAGCCCACGGCUCAACCGUGGAGGGUCAUUGGAAACUGGGAGACUUGAGUGCAGAAGAGGAAAGUGGAAUUCCAUGUGUAGCGGUGAAAUGCGUAGAGAUAUGGAGGAACACCAGUGGCGAAGGCGACUUCUGGUCUGAUAACUUGACACUGAGGCGCGAAAGCGUGGGGAG